AUGAGAGGCGUUCAUCAGGGUCUGAGGAGAUCUGCAGUUUACACAGUGAGAAACUCAAACUCUUCUGUCUGGAGGACAAACAGCCUGUGUGUUUAGUGUGCAGAGAUUCACGGAAAUACAUCAAUCACACAUUCAGACCCAUUAAUGAAGCCGUUUCAACAUGUAGGAAAGCGCUCAAUACAGCAGUCAAGACCUUACAGGACAAACUUCAACAAAGUGAAAACAUAAAAGGCGUGUUUGAGGAAACAGUUCAACACAUCAAGUCUCAAUUAAGCUGAUCACACAGAGCACCAAAUUAAACAGCAGUUUGAGAAGCUUCAUCAGUUUCUCAGAGAUGAAGAAGAAGCUACAAUCACUGCACUGAGGGAGGAAGAGGAG